rnacentral:rRNA from 1 species
UACAGAGGUCUCAAGCGUUGUUCGGAUUCACUGGGCGUAAAGGGUGCGCAGGCGCCAUGUGUGUCAGGUGUGAAAGCCCGAGGCUCAACCUCGGAAUUGCGCCUGAAACUACAUGGCUAGAGUACUGGAGAGGGUAGCGGAAUUCAUGGUGUAGCAGUGAAAUGCGUAGAUAUCAUGAGGAACACCAGAGGCGAAGGCGGCUACCUGGACAGUUACUGACGCUCAGGCACGAAAGCGUGGGGGGAGCAAAAGGG